AUUGAACGCUGGCGGCAGGCCUAACACAUGCAAGUCGAGCGGAGCGGCGGACGGGUGAGUAAUGCCUAGGAAUCUGCCUGGUAGUGGGGGAUAACGUCCGGAAACGGGCGCUAAUACCGCAUACUAUCCUAUGAGCCUAGGUCGGAUUAGCUAGUUGGUGGGGUAAAGGCCUAAAAAGGCAACGAUCCGUAACUGGGUUGAGAGUAUGAUCAGUCACACGGGAACUGAGACACGGUCCAGACUCCGACGGGAGGCAGCAGUGGGGAAUAUUGGACAAUGGGCGAAAGCCUGAUCCAGCAAUGCCGCGUGGGUGAAGAAGGUCUUCGGAUUGUAAAGCACUUUAAGUUGGGAGGCGUUACCAACAGAAUAAGCACCGGCUAACUUCGUGCCAGCAGCCGCGGUAAUUC
rnacentral:rRNA from 1 species